GUGCCAGCCGCCGCGGUAAUACGUAGGUGGCAAGCGUUGUCCGGAAUUAUUGGGCGUAAAGCGCGCGCAGGCGGUUUCUUAAGUCUGAUGUGAAAGCCCACGGCUUAACCGUGGAGGGUCAUUGGAAACUGGGAGACUUGAGUGCAGAAGAGGAAAGUGGAAUUCCACGUGUAGCGGUGAAAUGCGUAGAGAUGUGGAGGAGCACCAGUGGCGAAGGCGACUUUCUGGUCUGCAGCUGACGCUGAGGCGCGAAAGCGUGGGGAGCAAACAGGAUUAGAUACCCUGGUAGUCCAUGCCGUAAACGAUGAAUGCUAAGUGUUAGGGGGUUCCAGCCCCUUAGUGCUGCAGUUAACACAUGAAGCACUCCGCCUGGGGAGUACGACCGCAAGGUUGAAACUUAAAGGAAUUGACGG
rnacentral:rRNA from 1 species